UAACACGGCAGUUGAUUAGAAAGAUGUAGUUACUUCUGUUUGAAAAUGUAGCUGCUGCUCUGCCCUCUGGCUCACUUUGAAAAUUUGUGGUUCUGAAAGCUCAAGGCCCCUCUUUUGAAGUCUGACAGUGGCAAUCAAACAAAUCCAAUGAGCCCUGGCUAGAAUCAGGAGACUUGGACUGCUCCAUUCUGGGCUUUUAUGGGCCGCUGCACUGAUGAGAUGAUGUCCACUCCUAAGGAAAGGGCCAGUCUGUGGAGAUGAUCUACACGUGCUUGCUUUUCCUGAGAGCACCAGAGGUGAAUCUGCACAUCGUGAGCAUCACCCAGUUCCUUCGGCUGCUCUACAAACUCCAGCUCUCUUGAUCUGAUGAGAUGUCGCAGCUAAAAUUUAGGGCAUUAACAAUUAACCUGGGUUUUAUAUGAAGACAGAUUUUUUUUUUAAGCCUAAUUUCUAUAGCACAUUUUGCUAGCUGGUCAAAAUGCUGCCAAGGCCAUCUAUAAACUGUUGGCAUUAGCCAAAUAAGUGUUAGAAUGCUGCAAAUCCAAUGGUGGUAAAAUUGAACUGCUAAUGUCGUCAGUUCCAUUAAAGAAGGAAAUUCUUUUUGGUCAUGAACCAAAACCUUAGCAAGAUCUAGGCCUGUGCUCUGAGUAAAUUUAGAGGUUAUUUUAAAGGGAUAUUAAUUAAUAUUCCUCCAUCUUAUGUUAAUAGAGACCAUUACUAUGAAGUUUUUGUAAAAAUGCCACCAACAAAUAGCAUUCCAUGAUGUCAGGUACUUGAAGUGCAAAAAAAAAAAAAAAAAAAAAAA